rnacentral:rRNA from 1 species
CCCUUAGAUGUUCUGGGCCGCACGCGUGCUACACUGAGUAAUUCAAUGGGUAAGGGAACGCUAGAGCAUUACCUAGUCUUGAAAUUUGCUCGUGAUGGGGAUCGACGGUUGCAAUUUUCCGUCGUGAACGAGGAAUACCUUGUAGGCGCAUGUCAUCAUCAUGCGCCGAAUACGUCCCUGCCCUUUGUACACACCGCCCGUCGCUCCUACCGAUUGAGUGAUCCGGUGAGGCUCUGGGACCUGGACGGAAAGAGCGUUUCGCUUGUUCUGUUUGGGAAACUUGGUCGAACCUUAUCAUUUAGAGGAAGGAGAAGUCGUAACA